UAGAGUCAGAGGUGUGGUAGGGUCAGAGGUGUGGUAGGGUCAGAGGUGUGGUAGAGUCAGAGGUGUGGUAGGGUCAGAGGUGUGGUAGAGUCAGAGGUGUGGUAGAGUCAGAGGUGUGGUAGAGUCAGAGGUGUGGUAGAGUCAGAGGUGUGGUAGGGUCAGAGGUGUGGUAGGGUCAGAGGUGUGGUAGAGUCAGAGUCAGAGGUGUGGUAGGGUCAGAGGUGUGGUUAGAGUCAGAGGUGUGGUUAGAGUCAGAGGUGUGGUAGG